UGGGGGGAAUAAUGGCGUCGGUGAGAACGGGUGUGAAUUUGGAAGCUCCAAAGUAAGGAGCAGUGAAGUGAUAAUGGAGGUGAGAGGGAGAGUAGGAAAGUGAAAAUUCGGGUAGAAGAGGACGAGUGGUGGUCGGGCAAUUGGAGGGAAGCAGGAAGACGGCGGAAAAGAAAAGAUAUGAAAAGAUAUCGUGGUGGAGUUUGGGAGAUGAGAGGAAAGAAUGUGGAGUGAAGUAGCCGUGGAGAAGAAGAGGACAGUGAGAGGGCGCUGAGAAGAAAGGAAAAGCCGGUUGGCAGGAGAUGAAGACGAGAACGAGGAAGAUGACGAGGAGAGGAGAGAUGGCGCGGAUGGAGAAGAUGGUGGAAAACAGGUUGGCAGGAGUGAGGCGGCAGACGGUAGCGAGCUUUGGGAACGCAGAUUCUCACAGCACGUGGUCCGUCGAAGGAAAAGAUAGCCGACGCAGAAACAGUAAUAGCAGAGUGAGAGAAAGCAGAUGAGGUGAAAAUAGAGACAGAGAUGAAAUGUAAUAAUGAGGAGAAGAGAAUGGGAUAAUGAAGGAGACGGAAAAGGACAGAGUGAGGGAAAAAAGUGCGGUCGAGAGGAGGAUAGAAGAGAUUGGAAGAGAAGUAAGAAAACAGAGUGAAAAUGCCAAAAGGGUUAAAAGAGGUUAGGAAAAGAUUUAGAAGUCUGGAGGCGAGACUGGAGAGGCGGCAGACGGUAGCGAGCUUGGGAACGCAGAUUCUCACAGCACGUGGUCCGUCGAAGGAAAAGAUAGCCGACGCAGAAACAGUAAUAGCAGAGUGAGAGAAAGCAGAUGAGGUGAAAAUAGAGACAGAGAUGAAAUGUAAUAAUGAGGAGAAGAGAAUGGGAUAAUGAAGGAGACGGAAAAGGACAGAGUGAGGGAAAAAAGUGCGGUCGAGAGGAGGAUAGAAGAGAUUGGAAGAGAAGUAAGAAAACAGAGUGAAAAUGCCAAAAGGGUUAAAAGAGGUUAGGAAAAGAUUUAGAAGUCUGGAGGCGAGACUGGAGAGGUGGCAGACGGGAGAAGAGGACUUGGAUCCAGACGAGGAAGAAAAGAGGGGAAGAAAGGUAUGGAGAAGCGGCCAGGGAGAAAGAAGAGGAAGCAGAGGGGAAGAAAAGACGGUCGGAUGGAGACAAGCGGAGAAGA